GACGAACGCUGGCGGCGUGCCUAAUACAUGCAAGUCGAGCGAGCUUGCCUAGAUGAAUUUGGUGCUUGCACCAAAUGAAACUAGAUACAAGCGAGCGGCGGACGGGUGAGUAACACGUGGGUAACCUGCCCAAGAGACUGGGAUAACACCUGGAAACAGAUGCUAAUACCGGAUAACAACACUAGACGCAUGUCUAGAGUUUAAAAGAUGGUUCUGCUAUCACUCUUGGAUGGACCUGCGGUGCAUUAGCUAGUUGGUAAGGUAACGGCUUACCAAGGCAAUGAUGCAUAGCCGAGUUGAGAGACUGAUCGGCCACAUUGGGACUGAGACACGGCCCAAACUCCUACGGGAGGCAGCAGUACGGAAUCUUCCACAAUGGACGCAAGUCUGAUGGAGCAACGCCGCGUGAGUGAAGAAGGGUUUCGGCUCGUAAAGCUCUGUUGGUAGUGAAGAAAGAUAGAGGUAGUAACUGGCCUUUAUUUGACGGUAAUUACUUAGAAAGUCACGGCUAACUACGUG
rnacentral:rRNA from 1 species